rnacentral:rRNA from 1 species
AUACGGAGGGUGCAAGCGUUAUUCGGAAUCACUGGGCGUAAAGCGCGAGCAGGCGGCCAUUUAAGUUGGAUGUGAAAGCCUACGGCUCAACCGUAGAACUGCAUCCAAAACUAUUUGGCUAGAGUGUGGGAGAGGAAGAUGGAAUUAGUUGUGUAGGGGUAAAAUCCGUCGAGAUAACUAGGAAUACCAAAAGCGAAGGCAAUCUUCUGGAACACUACUGACGCUGAGGCGCGAAAGCGUGGGGAGCAAACGGGAUUAGAAACCCUAGUAGUCC